GAUGAACGCUGGCGGCGUGCUUAACACAUGCCAGUCGAACGGAAAGGCCCUGCUUUUGUGGGGUGCUCGAGUGGCGAACGGGUGAGUGACACGUGAGUGACCUGCCCUUGGCUUUAGGAUGACUUCAGGAAACUGGGGCUAAUACCGCCUAGGAGCUCCUGCUGCACGGUGGGGGGUGGACAGUUGCGGCGGGUGGGGAUGGACGCGCGGCUGAUCAGCUUGUUGGUGGGGGAGUGGCGUACACCGGGUUGGACGGGUAGCCGGCCUUGGAGGGGGACCGGCCACAUUGGGACUGAGGUACGGCCCAGACUCCUACGGGAGGCAGCAGUGGGGAAUAUUGCACAGUGGGCGGAAGCCUGUUGCAGCAACGCCGCGUGCGGGAUGACGGCCUUCGGGUUGUAAACCGCUUUCGCCUGUGACGAAGCGUGAGUGACGUUAAUGGGUGAAGAAGCACCGGCUAACUACGUG
rnacentral:rRNA from 1 species